rnacentral:rRNA from 1 species
CCCAACUGAUUGAUGGUGCUUGCACCUGAUUGACGAUGGAUCACCAGUGAGUGGCGGACGGGUGAGUAACACGUAGGUAACCUGCCCCGGAGCGGGGGAUAACAUUUGGAAACAGAUGCUAAUACCGCAUAACAACAAAAGCCACAUGGCUUUUGUUUAAAAGAUGGCUUUGGCUAUCACUCUGGGAUGGACCUGCGGUGCAUUAGCUAGUUGGUAAGGUAACGGCUUACCAAGGCGAUGAUGCAUAGCCGAGUUGAGAGACUGAUCGGCCACAAUGGAACUGAGACACGGUCCAUACUCCUACGGGAGGCAGCAGUAGGGAAUCUUCCACAAUGGGCGCAAGCCUGAUGGAGCAACACCGCGUGAGUGAAGAAGGGUUUCGGCUCGUAAAGCUCUGUUGUUGGAGAAGAACGUGCGUGAGAGUAACUGUUCACGCAGUGACGGUAUCCAACCAGAAAGUCACGGCUAACUACGUGCCAGCAGCCGCAGUAAUACGUAGGUGGCAAGCGUUAUCCGGAUUUAUUGGGCGUAAAGCGAGCGCAGGCGGUUGCUUAGGUCUGAUGUGAAAGCCUUCGGCUUAACCGAAGAAGUGCAUCGGAAACCGGGCGACUUGAGUGCAGAAGAGGACAGUGGAACUCCAUGUGUAGCGGUGGAAUGCGUAGAUAUAUGGAAGAACACCAGUGGCGAAGGCGGC